ensembl:lncRNA
AGAGAGAGAGGGGCCAGAGAGAGAGAGAGAGGAGACAGAGAGAGGGAGAGAGGGGCCAGGGAGGAGACAGAGAGAGGGGCCAGAGAGAGGGAGAGAGGAGACAGAGAGAGAGGCCAGAGAGAGGGAGAGAGGGGCCAGGGAGGAGACAGAGAGAGGGGCCAGAGAGAGGGAGAGAGGAGACAGAGAGAGAGAGGCCAGAGAGAGGGAGAGAGGGGCCAGGGAGGAGACAGAGAGAGGGGCCAGAGAGAGGGAGAGAGGAGACAGAGAGAGAGAGGCCAGAGAGAGGGAGAGAGGGGCCAGGGAGGAGACAGAGAGAGAGGGGCCAGAGAAAGAGAGAGAGGGGGCAGAGAGAGAGAAGGGCCAGAGAGAGGGAGAGAGGGGCCAGAGGGAGAGAGGGGCCAGAGAGAGGGAGAGAGGGGCCAGAGAGAGAGAGAGAAGGACGAGAGAGGGCGAUAGGAGACAGUGAGGGAGAGGGCAUCUAUCUCAUACUGCAGCCUCUCUAUGGAUGGGAGGGCUUCAGCUCUGGUGCCUCCCUGUCUCUAUCUCUGUUUGUAGUCUCUCUCUCUCUCUCUCCCCCUUAACCCACUAGCUGUCUCUCAAGACGUCUGUCUCUGAGCUUGUAAGUUGGCCAAUGUGUUCAGGAGUUAAGAGUUUUUUCGGAUGACUUUUGGAGACGGCUCUGUGUUUUUUUUUUUUUUUUGUGUCUGCCUUCAACCUCCACGGUCAAAUUGUCAGCUAGGAAAGGUCUCCUCUCGUCUCAAUGCUGUCUGGGUCCUAGCAUUUCACUGACUGGGUUCCCUAGCAACCUCUUAACACAUACUAGACAUUUUUUGUACCAUCACAUAUUAUUCUGAAUGAAUGUGAACUUGCGUUCUUGCUACGUCUCGAAGCAGGUAAACGGAAUGGUCUCGUCGAGCCAACACUCCUACAGUAUAUGUGGUAAUAGAGCUCGCCAGUCCUAAAACCACAGAAAUUAGUUACGUGUGGUUGGUUCAGCCAUCCCUACGGGGGAAAAUGAAUGGGGAAUUUAAAAUUGAGUUUUGG